AUUGAACGCUGGCGGCAGGCCUAACACAUGCAAGUCGAGCGGAGCGGCGGACGGGUGAGUAAUGCCUGGGAAUCUGCCUGGUAGUGGGGGAUAACGUCCGGAAACGGGCGCUAAUACCGCAUACUAUCAGAUGAGCCUAGGUCGGAUUAGCUAGUUGGUUGGGUAAAGGCCUACCAAGGCGACGAUCCGUAACUGGUCUGGGAGGAUGAUCAGUCACACUGGAACUGAGACACGGUCCAGGCUCCUACGGGAGGCAUCUGUGGAGAAUAUUAGAGAAGGGGCGAAAGCCUGAUCCAGCCAUGCCGCAGGUGUGAAGAAGGUCUUCUGAUUGUAAAGCACUUUAAGUUGGGAAGCGUUACCAACAGAAUAAGCACCAGCUGACUUCGUGCCAGCAGCCGCGGUAAUUC
rnacentral:rRNA from 1 species